GGGGGCGUAAAGGCUUCGACGGGAUGAAUGAAUUAUUGAUAGCGUGCAGAGGAUCCUCGUGGGCCUCUAAAAAAAACGAGGGAAUAAAUAUAAACGCAAAAACAAAUUUUGCUCCUUUAGCAGCGUAAGCUAGCUAAACAUCCUACCGGAAAUCACGGGGUCCGGACCAGGGUGUAAUCUACCGUGAAAACCCGAUAGUCAAAGCUUUGAG
rnacentral:tmRNA from 1 species